rnacentral:rRNA from 1 species
UACGUAGGGUGCGAGCGUUAAUCGGAAUUACUGGGCGUAAAGUGUGCGCAGGCGGCAACGCAAGUCGAGUGUGAAAGCCCCGGGCUCAACCUGGGAAUGGCAGUGGAAACUAGGGGACUGGAAUCUGGCAGAGGGGGGUGGAAUGCCGCGUGUAGCAGUGAAAUGCGUAGAGAUGCGGCGGAACACCGAUGGCGAAGGCAGCCCCCUGGGCUGAGAUUGACGCUCAGGCACGAAAGCGUGGGGAGCAAACAGG